rnacentral:rRNA from 1 species
CCCUAUGGGGUGCAGCAAUGGCUCAGAAGAUUAAAACGAGGCUGCAAGACCUAGAGGCAGCGAUUACCCUUGAAGAGGUAAGAUUUUUCUUCCAGGUCGAUGUCAUGAGCUUACAGGCAACCGGACUGAACAAUUGGCUAUGGAUCUGAUUCAUCCUUACCGACUUGUCUUUGUUCCCAAUCAUGAUCCAGUCCCCUUGAAACUGGGCAAAGGUUUGGAUUGGAAAAAAGUGACAAGCGUCCUCAUCGUGGAAAUAUGCGAUUAUCAUUAAAAGGGAAAGAAUGAUGGCAAAAAAAACACAAUACUUUUAUGAUCCCGAUUACGCAACUCUGCCGGGACAAACGAUACUGGACAAGAUUGAAGAGAUGGGAAUGACCCAACAGGAAUUGGCGGGAGAGC